UACGUAGGGGGCAAGCGUUGUCCGGAUUUAUUGGGCGUAAAGAGCGUGUAGGCGGCUGGGUAGGUCCGUUGUGAAAACUCGAGGCUCAACCUCGAGACGCCGAUGGAAACCCCCCAGCUAGAGUCCGGAAGAGGAGAGCGGAAUUCCUGGUGUAGCGGUGAAAUGCGCAGAUAUCAGGAAGAACACCCGUGGCUAAGGCGGCUCUCUAGUACGGUACUGACGCUGAGACGCGAAAGCGUGGGGAGCGAACAGG
rnacentral:rRNA from 1 species